rnacentral:SRP_RNA from 1 species
GCCGGGUGUGGUGGCGCACGCCUGUAAUCCCAGAUAUUCGGGAGGCUGAGGCAGGGGGAUCGCUUGAACCUGGGAGGCGGAGGUUGCAGUGAGCCGAGGUCGUGCCACUGCACUCUAGCCUGGGCAACAGGGUGAGACUCUGUCUCAA